AUAACCUGAAGCAUUAGAAGAAAAUCUGGGAAAGGAAGAGAAAGAAAAUCUGAAAUGUGUUUCACAACAAGAGAGCAGACUUAGUAACUUACUGAUUCUCAUAUUAAAGGAACCAGAAGAAUGAGGGACGGAUCAGCACUGUUCAAGCCUGGAGGAAAAGCUUUUUGAAAAGCUUUGGAAAAGCUACUCCCGAGCACCCCCUUUGAUAAGGGCUGAUACUGAAACCCCGAGAGCCACCUCCUUCUGAAGAGGUACCUUCACCAAAGUUGGGUGGACAGAAGGGGGCAGACAAAAUUGAGAAUGGAGAAGAUAAUUUGUGUAGCUGAGUGCUGUCUUAACUAAUUUAAUGGGAGAAAUAAAUUAUUUUUGUCGUC